rnacentral:rRNA from 1 species
UACGAAGGGGGCUAGCGUUGUUCGGAAUUACUGGGCGUAAAGCGCACGUAGGCGGACUCUUAAGUCAGGGGUGAAAUCCCGGGGCUCAACCUCGGAACUGCCUUUGAUACUGUGAGUCUCGAGUCCGGGAGAGGUGAGUGGAAUUCCUAGUGUAGAGGUGAAAUUCGUAGAUAUUAGGAAGAACACCAGUGGCGAAGGCGGCUCACUGGCCCGGUACUGACGCUGAGGCGCGAAAGCGUGGGGAGCAAACAGG